rnacentral:rRNA from 1 species
CCCUUAGAUGUUCUGGGCCGCACGCGCGCUACACUGAUGCAUUCAACGAGUCUAAAACCUGGUCUGAUAGGGCUGGGUAAUCUUUUGAAAGUGCAUCGUGAUUGGGAUAGAUGAUUGCAAUUCUUCAUCUUCAACGAGGAAUGCCUAGUAAACGCAAGUCAUCAGCUUGCAUUGAUUACGUCCCUGCCCUUUGUACACACCGCCCGUCGCUCCUACCGAUUGAAUGAUCCGAUGAAUACCAUGGAUUGAGAGUACGAAUGGGUUCGCUCAUUUCUGCUGCUCGAGAAGUGGAGUAAAUCUUAUCAUCUAGAGGAAGGAGAAGUCGUAACA